GAGAACUGCCAAGUCAGUUCCGGUCCGGCAGAGAUCGCGGAGAGACGCAGAACGCAGCCCGCUCCUCCAGGGCCCUCCAGGCCCUCCGGCCCCGGGCCGGCGGGUGAACUGGGGGGCCCCGGGACAGGCCGAGCCCUCUGCCCUGCAGAUAACGGAGGCCUCUGCUGUGGCUGCCCACUGGCUGUGCCCGCCCACUGGCUGUGCCCAGACCUUGAAGCCGCAGCGAACCUCUCUUUCCCACCCCACCUCGGUGACUAAUGGCGGCCGUGGCGUCUCCCAGCCCGGACCCCGCCGGCACCCGGGUCUCCCGACCCAAGCCUCGACGAAACCCCCGCAGAGCCGCCGGGACGCAGCGCCUUUGGGCGGCGCUGGGCGUGGUGGGCCGGGAAGUAUGGCGGCAGCUCGAACGCCGCGCGGCGGAGGCCAUUAAGGCGUGGACGGCCCGGGAAGGCGGCCUAGGGACGCAAGCAGGCUCGGCCGCCUCUUUAGGCCACGGAGCCGCGCAGAUCCGGUUCCCGGGUGACCACUCUGUCGCCAUUGGGCGAGACCUACCUAGUCCUGACGACAACGGACAAAGGCCUUAAGGGGCCUGGAAGGUGAGCGAAGUCCCGAACGACGACGGGUGGAACGGUUAGCGGCCAUCGGGCGGUUGGUCUUCAUUCUACCAGACUUUGCUGUCGGAAGAGAGAAAUGGUAGAAUGACAGGCCACGUUUGGCCCGUUGGAAAUGCCCACCACCCUCUGGGAAGAUUUACUGGCCGUUUAUGGAAGGCCUGUGUAUAUAAUAUGAAAAAGCUGCUCUCAACUCCACCCCAACCUUUUAAUAGAAAACAUUUGUCACAUCUAGCCCUUCUAGAUGGAAAGAGGUUGCCGACGUAUGAUAAAAUAGAGUUAGAAAGUUACACAUCUUGUAAAUUCUCAUUUGUUUAAAAGAAAUCAUAGAAAAUACAUGUCUUCUGGAGAUGACUUUUGGAAAUGGAGUUGUUAAGACGGCCUCUGGAAGCGAUACGUCCACGUUUGUUAAGUGGGUUAGAUGACAUGGAGCUGGAAGACCUGAGAAGGAAGAGAAGAAGGUUCUAUGCUAGACUGGUCAUAUUUAGAAGACAUUUUCAUAUUCUAUCCAUUGUUUUGUGUGCAUUUUAUUCCUCACUACUGUGUAUAUAGUUGACAAUGCUAAGCUUUUUUGAAAUGUCUCUUCUUUUUAGAUGUUCUGAAGUGCCUGAUAUGUUAAAAUUAGAGGUAGCAAAAUCACAUUUUGUAAAUACCUUUUUGUUACAAUUCAUAGGAAAUAUUUUUGGGGGGGAAUGGCCAAAUCACCUGUUGAGUAAUACUCAUUGUGUUUGUGCAGUGGUUCAGGGGAGGAGAGAGGAGGGGGAGGUGCAGAGAGCUCUAUGCCAUCCUGUUUACAGCGAGGCAAGAUGAAUCAUUAUGUCUGUGCAUUUUGUUUUACUUAUCUGUGUAUAUAGUGUACAUAAAGGACAGACGAGUCCUAAUUGACAACAUCUAGUCUUUCUGGAUGUUAAAGAGGUUGCCAGUGUAUGACAAAAGUAGAGUUAGUAAACUAACAUUUUGUACACUUUGUUAAAAUUUGUAGAAAGGCUGUCUUCUGAAAAGGACUUUUGGAAGUGAGAUAACAUCAGCUCUAAGUGACACGUGCCUAUAUCCAUCAGGUUGGUGGUGGAGAGGAGUUGGAAGGAAUGAAGGGUUCUAGACCAGAAUGUUCGUAUUUAGAAGACACUAUCAGAUAUAACCAUUGUUACAUGUGUGUAGUUUAUUCAACCCUACUGUGUAUAUAGCGGACAAACUUAAGUCCUUAUUUGAAACAUCUAGUCUUUCUAGAUGUUUAGAAGUGCACAAAGUAUGUUAAAAGUAGAGGUAGUAAAUAACACAUUUUGUAGCUAUCCUUUUGAUAUGAAAUAUUGUCUUGGAAAUUGAUCAAUUCUCUGAGCAGUACCCAUUUUGAUAUUUGUGCUGGUUCAGGGGGAAGGAGGAGCACAAAGUGCAAAGGGCUUUCUACCAGUGUCCAGUGUGUUUAUGAGGAGGCACAUUGACCAUUGUCCCUUAUGUCUGCAUUUUCAUUUACUGUGCUGUGUAUAUAGUGUAUAUAAGCGGACAUAGGAGUCCUAAUUUACGUCUAGUCGAUGUUAAAAAGGUUGCCAGUAUAUGACAAAAGUAGAAUUAGUAAACUACUACAUUGAGUACACUUUGUGUUAAAAUUCAUAGGGAAGACUUCUUAAAAACAAGUGAAAUUGUUAAAACCCCCCCUAAGCAUUACAGAUGGCUUAUAGCUGUCCACGGGGUUGGUAGAGGUGGGAAAGGGAAGGGUUCUAGGCCAGAAUGUUCCUAUUUAGAAGACACUCAAAUUACAGUCUGUGUUAUGUAUGUAUACCAUUUAUUCAAUGCUACUGUGUAUAUAAUGGAAAACUUAAGUCCAGUUUGAAACAUCUAGUCUUUCUAGGUGUUUAAAAGUGUACAACGGCCUGUCGCAGUGGCGCAUGCCUGUAAUCCCAGCACUUUGGGAGGCCGAGGCAGGCGGAUCACGAGGUCAAGAGAUCAGGACCAUCUUGGCCAACAUGGUGAAACCCCAUCUUUACUAAAAAUACAAAAAUUAGCUGGUCGUGGUGGUGCCCACCUGUAGCCCCAGUUACUCGAGAGGCUGAGGCAGGAGAAUCGCUUGAACUUGGGAGGCGGAAGUUGCAGUGAGCCAAGAUCGCACCACUGCACUCCAGCCUGGCGACAGAGCGAGGCUCCGUUUCAAAAAAAAAAGUGCACAAUGUAGGUUAACAGUAGAGGGCUUAAGUAACACCCCUCUAAGCAUUUGUUUUCAGUACUUCCUAGGAGUGGUUGCAUUUGGGAAUGGAAUUGUUAAAACUUGAUGCUUAGGAGCGAAUGCAGACUAUUCAUUGGGUGUUUGGGGUGGGGGAAGGGGGGGUGGGCAGAGGAGGUAUGCAGGGAGAGGGGUUCUGUGCUCCUGAGAUUAGUUCAGAUGGUCUAACCAUUGUUCUAUAUGUGCAUUUUAGUUAAUAUUGUGUAUUAAAGGAUAAGUCUUAAUGCUCAAAGUAUGUUAAAAAUAGAUGUAGUAAAUCAGUCCCUUUGUGAAUGUCCUUUUGUUAGUUUUUAGGAAGGCCUGUCCUCUGGGAGUGACCUUUAUUAGUCCACCCCUUGGAGCUAGACAUCCUGUACUUAGUCACGGGGAUGGUGGAAGAGGGAGAAGAGGAAGGGUGAAGGGAAGGGCUCUUUGCUAGUAUCUCCAUAUCUAGACGAUGGUUUUAGAUGAUAACCACAGGUCUACAAGAGCGUUUUUAGUAAAGUGCCUGUGUUCAUUGUGGACAAAGUUAUUAUUUUGCAACAUCUAAGCUUUACGAAUGGGGUGACAACUUAUGAUAAAAACUAGAGCUAGUGAAUUAGCCUAUUUGUAAAUACCUUUGUUAUAAUUGAUAGGAUACAUCUUGGACAUGGAAUUGUUAAGCCACCUCUGAGCAGUGUAUGUCAGGACUUGUUCAUUAGGUUGGCAGCAGAGGGGCAGAAGGAAUUAUACAGGUAGAGAUGUAUGCAGAUGUGUCCAUAUAUGUCCAUAUUUACAUUUUGAUAGCCAUUGAUGUAUGCAUCUCUUGGCUGUACUAUAAGAACACAUUAAUUCAAUGGAAAUACACUUUGCUAAUAUUUUAAUGGUAUAGAUCUGCUAAUGAAUUCUCUUAAAAACAUACUGUAUUCUGUUGCUGUGUGUUUCAUUUUAAAUUGAGCAUUAAGGGAAUGCAGCAUUUAAAUCAGAACUCUGCCAAUGCUUUUAUCUAGAGGCGUGUUGCCAUUUUUGUCUUAUAUGAAAUUUCUGUCCCAAGAAAGGCAGGAUUACAUCUUUUUUUUUUUUUUUAGCAGUUUGAGUUGGUGUAGUGUAUUCUUGGUUAUCAGAAUACUCAUAUAGCUUUGGGAUUUUGAAUUGGUAAAUAUUCAUGAUGUGUGAAAAAUCAUGAUACAUACUGUACAGUCUCAGUCCCAUAAAAUUGGAUGUUGUGCCUACACACAGGAUCUAGAAGAAUAUGUCAAACUAUAAACUGCUUGUGAUUGUGAAUGACUUUGUUCUUUGCUUGUGUUUUUCAAUUUCCUAUAAUGCACAUACUAACUUUUAAAAAAUAAAGGUUAUUUUAAAAGCCUGUAUUAAGCCCUCGUUGCUUGUAGAAUAGAGUUAGUAUACGCUACAGAAGCACAGGUUCAUGCUCCUUCAUGCUUGGGCUCUGAGGUAUCUGGAAUUUCUCAUCUUUGACUCCUC
rnacentral:lncRNA from 1 species